rnacentral:rRNA from 1 species
CCCUUAGAUGUUCUGGGCCGCACGCGCGCUACACUGGUACGUUCAACAAGUUUACAACCUUGACCGAAAGGUCUGGGUAAUCUUUUGAAUGCGUACCGUGCUAGGGAUAGAUUAUUGCAAUUAUUAAUCUUGAACGAGGAAUUCCUAGUAAACGCAAGUCAUCAGCUUGCAUUGAUUACGUCCCUGCCCUUUGUACACACCGCCCGUCGCUCCUACCGAUUGGGUGUGCUGGUGAAAUGUUCGGAUCGGCCGUUUGUCGCGGUUUCCGCGUCAUGUGGCUGAGAAGUUCAUUAAACCCUCCCACCUAGAGGAAGGAGAAGUCGUAACA